rnacentral:rRNA from 1 species
AUUGAACGCUGGCGGCAGGCCUAACUCAUGCAAGUCGAGCGCGAAAGUCUUUGGAUGAGUAAAGCGGCGAACGGGUGAGUAACGCGUGGGAAUCUGCCCAGUAGUGGGGGACAACAGCCGGAAACGGCUGCUAAUACCGCAUACGCCCUACGGGGGAAAGGGGGGGAUCUUCGGACCUCUCGCUAUUGGAUGAGCCCGCGUCGGAUUAGCUAGUUGGUGAGGUAAAGGCUCACCAAGGCGACGAUCCGUAACUGGUCUGAGAGGAUGAUCAGUCACACUGGAACUGAGACAUGGUCCAGACUCCUACGGGAGGCAGCAGUGGGGAAUAUUGGACAAUGGGGGCAACCCUGAUCCAGCCAUGCCGCGUGUGUGAAGAAGGCCCUAGGGUUGUAAAGCACUUUCAGUGGGGAGAAAAGUGAUUCACCUAAUACGUGAGUCAAUUGAUGUUACCCACAGAAGAAGCACCGGCUAACUCCGUGCCAGCCGCCGCAGUAA